rnacentral:sRNA from 1 species
UAACCAGAUCAGAACAGCGGAUAGGUGA